rnacentral:rRNA from 2 species
GUGCCUAAUACAUGCAAGUCGAGCGAAUCGAUGGGAGCUUGCUCCCUGAGAUUAGCGGCGGACGGGUGAGUAACACGUGGGCAACCUGCCUAUAAGACUGGGAUAACUUCGGGAAACCGGAGCUAAUACCGGAUACGUUCUUUUCUCGCAUGAGAGAAGAUGGAAAGACGGUUUCGGCUGUCACUUAUAGAUGGGCCCGCGGCGCAUUAGCUAGUUGGUGAGGUAAUGGCUCACCAAGGCGACGAUGCGUAGCCGACCUGAGAGGGUGAUCGGCCACACUUGGGACUGAGACACGGCCCAGACUCCUACGGGAGGCAGCAGUAGGGAAUCUUCCGCAAUGGACGAAAGUCUGACGGAGCAACGCCGCGUGAACGAAGAAGGCCUUCGGGUCGUAAAGUUCUGUUGUUAGGGAAGAACAAGUACCAGAGUACUGCUGGUCCUUGCGGUCCUA